rnacentral:rRNA from 1 species
AUGGGUCAGCCGUGGCCGACCCUCCUACCAGCACGCCAGCGGAAGGCGAAAAAAUGGCGGAGGCAAGCAAUAUGGGAGAAGGAGCCUCCCCGCCCGACAGCAGACUCGAGUUUCUACUGGAUCCGGGGCGUCGUGCCGUCAGCCACGGCUGGUGCCGAAUUCUCCUGCACGGUUGUGGUUGGACACCUCGGCGGCGCUGCUGAGUGCGGUGGCAAGAAGAAAGAGUCGCCAACCCAGUCCAUGAAAUCGACCGGGAAGGUGAACCCAGAGGCGCCGGGGUGGACCAGAAGGUUGAGAGUUGGCCGUGCACCUCCGCAUAGGGCACCCUGCCCUGGUAGAGUCACUCUACUGGAAGAAGCAAUCCGGAGGUAUGCUGAUAAACCAUCGGACAAUGUUGUGAAACCAAAGAUUGGGAUGAGUUUUGACUCCCUGGGGAAGCCUACGAAUUUCUCUAACCUGUAUUCCUGGAGCUUGGAUUUGGGAAAGCCUGAGCAGCAGAAUAGCUGGUCUUGCUGGGGAAAUAAUGUGAAGCUCAACAAGGUGUACAACAUAGUUGGCAGCUUCUUCGGUUCAUCUCAGAGACUCAGAAUGUGCCUUUCACAAAGCGGUCUUCUCCGGAAUCUGUGUGGCCGGAUAAGUCGAGACCAGGCUGAUCACGCUGAUGUGAACAAGACCCUUGCUGUGUUUAAAGAGAUACAGCGCAACGACCCAGAGUUCACCUACUGA